AUUGAACGCUGGCGGCAUGCCUAACACAUGCAAGUCGAGCGAGCGGCGGACGGGUGAGUAAUGCAUGGGGAACUUCCCGAUAGAUGGGGAACACCACUGGAAACGGUGGCCAAUUCCGCCUUCUCUCGGAUGAAGCCAUAUUGGAUUAGCUAGUAGGUGGGGUAAAGGCUCACCUAGGGGACGAUCUCUAGCUGGUGUGAGAGGAUGAAGAGCCACACGGGGACUGGGAAAGGGCCCAGACUCCUACGGGAGGCAGCAGUGGGGAAUAUUGGACAAUGGGCGAAAGCCUGAUGCAGCCAGGCCGCGUGUAGGAGGAAGGCCUUGGGGUUGUAAAGUACGUUAAGCGGGGAGGCGGUACCCGAAGAAGAAGCACCGGCUAACUACGUGCCAGCAGCCGCGGUAAUUC
rnacentral:rRNA from 1 species